UGAUGUUGAGACCAAGUGUGAAGGAGAAAGAGCUUGAAGCUUUGUUAGCUGGGUAACAAGAUUCUUGUUCUUGCUUCAUAGAGGU